rnacentral:lncRNA from 1 species
UUAUGAAGAAAUGCGAAGAUAGUAUUCUAAUUCAAUAACCUAAAGGAUUCAUCCUGAAAGACUACGGUUAUGUUAUGAUACGCCGAUGCUUCGUGAAUCGCGAACUUUGCAAAUGACUGUUUUGCUCCAAAGUUAAUCUGCUUUGUCUUUUUGCUUUGUAAAUAUUCAGCGAUCUUGGUGUAUGUUUGGUGUGUGUUUAUGAAGAAAUGGGAAGAUAGUAUUCUAAUUAAAUAAUCUAAAGCAUUUGUUCAGAAAAACGACGCUUAUGUAUGUUAAUAUGAUGUGCUAAAAUGGACUGUUGUCUGUUUAUAUUCGCGUUUGUAUACAUGGCUGAUAUUCCCAUCGUUGAUUCCCAAAAAAUACCAUUGCUUACAUCGCUGGAUUGUAGUAUUGUGGAUUGUGAGACAAAAAAACCCCAGUGAAUUCAUCGAUACUAACGACACGGUAAGUGAAUAUCUUUUGAAAAUAGCUUUUGAGUUAUAUACAGUAUGCUUGGAUACACUAUAAACGUUUAAUAAAUGUUUAAAAAGUGUAACGUUUUAUAUGGAUACACUAUAAACCUCUGCCUCCAGCCUCGCAGGGUAAUAUAAACGUUUUUGUAGGUAAAAUCUUAAAAAGUGUACUGUAGAUUUCAAUAAAUGUCUGCAAAGUGUUUGAAGAAAAUUACUAAGUUUAAUACACUAAAUCACUUGGUUCCUCUCUUACAAAUCCAAUGAGAUACAAUUAUUUAAUUCAUGAGUAAUUCUUUAUAUUGUGGUCACAGAAACUUUGAAGUGUAUCAAAUAAGGGGGUGUUUAUCAGGAAGCCGGGGCUGUUCUGCUUAGCGAGGAACCCUGGUAAGCGAGAUCUCACUGUGUAGUUAUUUUUACAGUAAAAAUUACCUUGCCUUUAUAUGAGCAAGUUGGCUGGCCUGGUUGCCAAGAUCUUGCUUGAAAGAAGCGAGAUCUCACUUAUCAGGAUGGCAAUUUUUCCAUAUAAACACUCACAUCAAUGAUGCAGGCUGGCCAGUUUGCCAGGAUAAAAGAUCAAAGAUGCUGCCGCAAGCUAUUUUUAACAACUGUCAAAACAAUGUCACAACAACAAAAUUGCCUUGACAAGCAGGAUGAAAUUUUCUCACAUGAACAGAAAAAAAAUUCAUCCCGAUUACCAGGCUGUCUCGCUAAAUGGGCUAUCCCGGCUUCCAUAUUAAACAGCCCCUAAUAUUACUUUAUAUACCACUUUAAGCCAUUAACCUAUUAGAGUGCAAGACUCUCCCCUUGAAAAGUAAAAUUGUUUGCCGUUAGACAGAGUAAAAGUAAAAAGUAAGGUGCAUUGCUGCUCAAUGGUUUAAGCUGCAGAGCUACCCCAUUGACAAGUAAAAUCAUCUGGCAUUAAGCAAGUAAAAAGAAUAAGUAGGGUGAGCAUUGCAGCUCAAUGGGUUAGUUCAAUUAAUCCUCCUCAAACACUAUAUUUCCAGUUGAAAUUUUAGAAUUUCCAACAGUAGUAGUCUUUUUGGGUCAGUCUUGAAAAGCAGGUUAUAAUAAUCAGCUCCUCUAAAUAUUUCAGUAUAUUAGACAAAAUAUAUUAAUCAUACUCCUGACGGUCUAUGUUUGCAAGUAUAUUUAGUCACUCUGAUAUUAUAAAUGUACGUAGCAGGUGCAACAUGUUACACAACCUUAUGCUUUUCAGCUACAUUCUACCUUCAAGUUUUUAAUAUCACCUACUUCAUUGUUUUAAUCCUAAUCCCCACUGACUUUACUCUUCAAGGAAACAGCACUAAUAAACACUAUAUAUCCCUUUUAACAUCUUGCCCAACAUUCAUUCUCUAAUAUGUAAAAGUUUGCUUUAAUUUCAUUUAAUUGGUCAUGUUAAUAUAUACGUUUGCUUCUACUGCAGUUAUAUAAACGUUCCACCCAGCAGAAUACUUGUAUAUAUACUGUACCUCCUCCAUUAGAUCAACAAGUGUUAUGUGUAUAUCAACAUGUGACAGCCAUUUAAGGCUGCACAACAUUGUUUUAUUAGGUUAAUUUAACAAGUUACAAAGUCAACACUGUAAUCAUAAAACUCAAAAAAAAAAGUUGCUGCGAACACCCCAUUACUAUGACUAAACCCUUUAUAUUCAUUUUAAACUAUUUCCAAACAUUCAUUCUCUAAUGUGGGAAAGGUUGCAUUAAUUUCACUAAUUAUUUUUUGUAUGAGGGCCACAUACUUUAUAGGAUAUGAUCAAAUGAGAUUAAGACUUAAGCCAAAUUUGAAUACUUUGUCAUGUCGUGGUAAUAUAAGUUUGGUUGUACUGAAGUUAUAUAAACAUUCAACCUAGCAUAAUAUUUAUAUAUACUUCUUCUAUUAGCACAACAAGUGUUAUGUGUGUAUCAACAUGUUACAGCCAUUUAAGCAGGUACACUGUUGUUUUAUUAGGCCAAUUAGCAUGUCAUAUUCAUAAAAAAACCUAGUUAAUUAAGGUUGCUGCCAAAGCCCCAUUUCUAUGAGUAAAAACUUUAUAUCAUUUUUUAAAUCUUUCCAAACAUUCAUUCUCUAAUAUGGGAAGGUUUGAAUUAAUUUCAUCAAUUGGUUUUUGUAUGAGAGCCACUUUAUAGGCUGUCAUGAAAUGCGAUUUAGACUUAAGCUAAAUUUGAACACUUUGUCAUGUCAUGGUAAUAUAAGUUUGGUUGUACUGAAGUUAUAUAAACGUUCCACCUAGCAGAAUACUUAUAUAUACCCCUUCUAUUAGCACAACAAGUGUUAUGUGUGUAUCGACAUGUUACAGCCAUUUAAGGUUGUACACUGUUGUUUUAUUAGGCCAAUUAGCAUGUCAUAUUCAUAAAAAAAACCAAUUAAGGUUGCUGCCAAAGUCCCAUUUCUAUCAGUAAAAACUUUAUAUCAUUUUUUAAAUCUUUCCAAACAUUCAUUCUCUAAUAUGCGAGGGUUUGAAUUAAUUUCAUCAAUUGGUUUUUGUAUGAGAGCCACUUUAUAGGGUAUCAUGAAAUGCGAUUUAGACUUAAACCAAAUUUGAACACUUUGUUAUGUCAUGAAUGGCAAUAUAAGUUUGGUUGUACUGAAGUUAUAUAAACGUUCCACCUAGCAGAAUACUUAUAUAUACCUCUUCUAUUAGCACAACGAGUGUUAUGUGUGUAUCGACAUGUUGCAGCCAUUUAAGGUGGUACACUGUUGUUUUAUUAGGGCAAUUAGCAUGUUAUAUUAAAAAAAAACCCAAUUAAGGUUUCUGCCAAAGCCCCAUUACUAUCAGUAAAAACUUUAUAUCGGUUUUAAAAUCUUUCCAAACAUUCAUUCUCUAAUAUGGGAAGGUUUGGGUUAAUUUCAUCACUUGGUUUUUGUAUGAGAGCCACUUUAUAGGCUGUAAUCAAAUGCGAUUUAGACUUAAGUCAAAUUUGAACACUUUGUCAUGUCAUGUCAUGGUAAUAUAAGUUUGGUUAUACUGAAGUUAUAUAAACGUUCCACUUAGCAGAAUACUUAUAGAUACCUCUUCUAUUAGCACAACGAGUGUUAUGUGUGUAUCGACAUGUUGCAGCCAGUUAAGGUGGUACACUGUUGUUUUAGUAGGGCAAUUAGCAUGUUAUAUUUAUAAAAAGACCAAUUAAGGUUUCUGCCAAAGCCCCAUUACUAUGAGUAAAAACUUUAUAUCGGUUUUAAAAUCUUUCCAAACAUUCUCUAAUAUGGGAAGGUUUGGGUUAAUUUCAUCACUUGGUUUUUGUAUGAGAGCCACUUUAUAGGCUGUAAUCAAAUGCGAUUUAGACUUAAGUCAAAUUUGAACACUUUGUCAUGUCAUGCCAGUCAUGGUAAUAUAAGUUUGGUUAUACUGAAGUUAUAUAAACGUUCCACUUAGCAGAAUACUUAUAGAUACCUCUUCUAUUAGCACAACGAGUGUUAUGUGUGUAUCGACAUGUUGCAGCCAGUUAAGGUGGUACACUGUUGUUUUAGUAGGGCAAUUAGCAUGUUAUAUUUAUAAAAAGACCAAUUAAGGUUUCUGCCAAAGCCCCAUUACUAUGAGUAAAAACUUUAUAUCGGUUUUAAAAUCUUUCCAAACAUUCUCUAAUAUGGGAAGGUUUGGGUUAAUUUCAUCACUUGGUUUUUGUAUGAGAGCCACUUGAUAGGCUGUAAUCAAAUGCGAUUUAGACUUAGCUAAAUUUGAACACUUUGUCAUGUCAUGGUAAUAUAAGUUUGGUUGUACUGAAGUUAUAUAAACGUUCCACCUAGCAGAAUACUUAUAUAUACCCCUUCUAUUAGCACAACAAGUGUUAUGUGUGUAUCGACAUGUUACAGCCAUUUAAGGUUGUACACUGUUGUUUUAUUAGGCCAAUUAGCAUGUCAUAUUCAUAAAAAAAACCAAUUAAGGUUGCUGCCAAAGUCCCAUUUCUAUCAGUAAAAACUUUAUAUCAUUUUUUAAAUCUUUCCAAACAUUCAUUCUCUAAUAUGCGAGGGUUUGAAUUAAUUUCAUCAAUUGGUUUUUGUAUGAGAGCCACUUUAUAGGGUAUCAUGAAAUGCGAUUUAGACUUAAACCAAAUUUGAACACUUUGUUAUGUCAUGAAUGGCAAUAUAAGUUUGGUUGUACUGAAGUUAUAUAAACGUUCCACCUAGCAGAAUACUUAUAUAUACCUCUUCUAUUAGCACAACGAGUGUUAUGUGUGUAUCGACAUGUUGCAGCCAUUUAAGGUGGUACACUGUUGUUUUAUUAGGGCAAUUAGCAUGUUAUAUUCAUAAAAAAAACAAUUAAGGUUUCUGCCAAAGCCCCAUUACUAUGAGUAAAAACUUUAUAUCGGUUUUAAAAUCUUUCCCAACAUUCAUUCUCUAAUAUGGGAAGGUUUGGGUUAAAUUCAUCACUUGGUUUUUGUAUGAGAGCCACUUUAUAGGCUGUAAUCAAAUGUGAUUUAGACUUAAGCCAAAUUUGAACACUUUUUCAUGUCAUAGUAGUAUAAGUUUGGUUGUACUGAAGUUAUAUAAACAUUCGACCUAGCAGAAUACUUAUAUAUACCCCUUCUAUUAGCACAACAAGUGUUAUGUGUGUAUCGACAUGUUACAGCCAUUUAAGGUGGUACACUGUUGUUUUAUUAGGCCAAUUAACAUGUUAUAUUCAUAAAAAAAACAAUUAAGGUUACUGCCAAAGCCCCAUUACUAUGAGUAAAAACUUUAUAUCGUUUUUAAAAUCUUUCCAAACAUUCAUUCUCUAAUAUGGGAAGGUUUGGAUUAAUUUCAUCAAUUGGUUUUUGUAUGAGAGCCACUUUAUAGGCUGUUAUCAAAUGCGAUUUAGACUUAAGCCAAAUUUGAACACUUUUUCAUGUCAUAGUAAUAUAAGUUUGGUUGUACUGAAGUUAUAUAAACAUUCCACCUAGCAGAAUACUUAUAUAUACCCCUUCUAUUAGCACAACAAGUGUUAUGUGUGUAUCGACAUGUUACAGCCAUUUAAGGUGGUACACUGUUGUUUUAUUAGGCCAAUUAACAUGUUAUAUUCAUAAAAAAAACAAUUAAGGUUACUGCCAAAGCCCCAUUACUAUGAGUAAAAACUUUAUAUCGUUUUUAAAAUCUUUCCAAACAUUCAUUCUCUAAUAUGGGAAGGUUUGGAUUAAUUUCAUCAAUUGGUUUUUGUAUGAGAGCCACUUUAUAGGCUGUUAUCAAAUGCGAUUUAGACUUAAGCCAAAUUUGAACACUUUUUCAUGUCAUAGUAAUAUAAGUUUGGUUGUACUGAAGUUAUAUAAACAUUCCACCUAGCAGAAUACUUAUAUAUACCCCUUCUAUUAGCACAACAAGUGUUAUGUGUGUAUCGACAUGUUACAGCCAUUUAAGGUGGUACACUGUUGUUUUAUUAGGCCAAUUAACAUGUUAUAUUCAUAAAAAAAACAAUUAAGGUUACUGCCAAAGCCCCAUUACUAUGAGUAAAAACUUUAUAUCGUUUUUAAAAUCUUUCCAAACAUUCAUUCUCUAAUAUGGGAAGGUUUGGAUUAAUUUCAUCAAUUGGUUUUUGUAUGAGAGCCACUUUAUAGGCUGUUAUCAAAUGCGAUUUAGACUUAAGCCAAAUUUGAACACUUUUUCAUGUCAUAGUAAUAUAAGUUUGGUUGUACUGAAGUUAUAUAAACAUUCCACCUAGCAGAAUACUUAUAUAUACCCCUUCUAUUAGCACAACAAGUGUUAUGUGUGUAUCGACAUGUUACAGCCAUUUAAGGUGGUACACUGUUGUUUUAUUAGGCCAAUUAGCAUGUUAUAUUCAUAAAAAAAACAAUUAAGGUUCUGCCAAAGCCCCAUUACUAUGAGUAAAAACUUUAUAUCGUUUUUAAAAUCUUUCCAAACAUUCAUUCUCUAAUAUGGGAAGGUUUGGAUUAAUUUCAUCAAUUGGUUUUUGUAUGAGAGCCACUUUAUAGGCUGUUAUCAAAUGCGAUUUAGACUUAAGCCAAAUUUGAACACUUUUUCAUGUCAUAGUAAUAUAAGUUUGGUUGUACUGAAGUUAUAUAAACAUUCCACCUAGCAGAAUACUUAUAUAUACCCCUUCUAUUAGCACAACAAGUGUUAUGUGUGUAUCGACAUGUUACAGCCAUUUAAGGUGGUACACUGUUGUUUUAUUAGGCCAAUUAACAUGUUAUAUUCAUAAAAAAAACAAUUAAGGUUACUGCCAAAGCCCCAUUACUAUGAGUAAAAACUUUAUAUCGUUUUUAAAAUCUUUCCAAACAUUCAUUCUCUAAUAUGGGAAGGUUUGGAUUAAUUUCAUCAAUUGGUUUUUGUAUGAGAGCCACUUUAUAGGCUGUUAUCAAAUGCGAUUUAGACUUAAGCCAAAUUUGAACACUUUUUCAUGUCAUAGUAAUAUAAGUUUGGUUGUACUGAAGUUAUAUAAACAUUCCACCUAGCAGAAUACUUAUAUAUACCCCUUCUAUUAGCACAACAAGUGUUAUGUGUGUAUCGACAUGUUACAGCCAUUUAAGGUGGUACACUGUUGUUUUAUUAGGCCAAUUAGCAUGUUAUAUUCAUAAAAAACUCAAUUAAGGUUGCUGCCAAAGCCCCAUUUCUAUGAGUAAAAACUUUAUAUCGUUUUUUAAAUCUUUCCAAAUAUUCAUUCUCUAAUAUGGGAAGGUUUGAAUUAAUUUCAUUAAUUGGUUUUUGUAUGAGAGCCACUUUAUAGGCUGUAAUCAAAUGCAAUUUAGACUUAAGCCAAAUUUGAACACUUUUUCAUGUCAUAGCAAUACAAGUUUGGUUGUACUGAAGUUAUAUAAACAUUCGACCUAGCAGAAUAUUUAUAUAUACCCCUUCUAUUAGCACAACAAGUGUUAUGUGUGUAUCGACAUGUUACAGGCAUUUAAGGUGGUACACUGUUGUUUUAUUAGGCCAAUUAGCAUGUUAUAUUCAUAAAAAACUCAGUUAAGGUUGCUGCCAUAGCCCCAUUUCUAUGACUAAAAACUUUAUAUCGUUUUUUAAAUCUUUCCAAACAUUCAUUCUCUAAUAUGGGAAGCUUUGGAUUAAUUUCAUUAAUUGGUUUUUGUAUGAGAGGCACUUUAUAGGCUGGAAUCAAAUGCGAUUUAGACUUAAGCCAAAUUUGAACACUUUUUCAUGUCAUAGUAAUAUAAGUUUGGUUGUACUGAAGUUAUAUAAACAUUCCACCUAGCAGAAUAUUUAUAUAUACCCCUUCUAUUAGCACAACAAGUGUUAUUUGUGUAUCGACAUGUUACAGCCAUUUAAGGUGGUACACUGUUGUUUCAUUAGGCCAAUUAGCAUGUUAUAUUCAUAAAAAAACCCAAUUAAGGUUACUGCCAAAGCCCCAUUACUGUGAGUAAAAACUUAAUAUCGUUUUUAAAAUCUUUCCAAACAUUCAUUCUCUAAUAUGGGAAGGUUUGGAUUAAUUUCAUCAAUUGGUUUUGUAUGAGAGCCACUUUAUAGGCUGUAAUCAAAUGCGAUUUAGACUUAAGCCAAAUUUGAACACUUUGUCAUGUCAUGGUAAUAUAGGUUUGGUUGUACUGAAGUUAUAUAAACGUUUCACCUAACAAAAUACUUGUAGAUACGUUUGCUGUUGGCACAACGAGUAUUAUGCUGGCUAAAUGUUGCUUGAGAAUGUUAACUAUGGUCGUGUUAGCAGUGCAGCCAGAUGUUAAAAAUAUUUUUGCUCUUAAAAGUUUAUCCAAAUAUUGAUUUUAACAUUUUUUUAGGAAAUCUAGAACUCCUCGAGAUUGGCUGGUGAAGUCCUGUGAAUGUGAUUGAAAUUAUUGAAUUGGACCCAUGUGAAGGAAAGAAACUUUGAUUUGAAAAUGUUAUAUAAAAAUGCUUCGAAACUUGUUUGUUAUUUGGUCUUAUUGUAUGUUUAGUAUGUUAUUCAUUUAAAUUUGCAAUAUAUUCUGGUUGUGAGAAUUGCAAGAAUUUUUAUUUUGUACGGAAGUAGAAUGAGACAUAAUGUUUACACUGCGUGGUAUGUUGAAUCUCAAAAUAUGAGCUAUAGACAUGACUUUGUUUUUGUAAUAUUUUGAUUGUAUUUCGAAAUUGUAAAAUUGUUCUUGUAAGGCAUGAAAUUUAGAUAUCGUUAUAGGUUGUUCGCUGGUGGAAAUCAAUUAAGUGUCCGAUUUUCGGAUUGUGUUUUAUUCUACAUGUUUGUAUCCAAAUCCUAAGUCGCAUAAAAUAUGAAAGGCGAACGAAAAGACUUCCAUCCAAUGAUAUUUUUUACCUGUUUCGCCUGUCAAACACGGUAAGACACUGCGUCAAAUACCAGUUUUUCUUACUCAAACGCUAGUUUUCAAUUACAAUUUGUCAGUUUGAUACAUGUGAUAUAUCGCUGUAUCAAAGAACUUGUGUCUUUGCCUGCCAAAAUCAUUAGUGUGUCAUAUCAAUAUUAACCUGGUAAAUCCAAAAUGUAUAAAUAAGUUCUAUAGCUUCAAACGGGUGUAUUACUCAAAUUGCUAUCAUAUAUAGAUAUAAAGUGGAAUUUAUUAGAAUGGAUUGAAAAGAUUUGGGAUAAUCGGGUGUUUUUUCACUGGAUCCUCAAGAUAAAAAUAUACUCGAUAUAUCUCUAUUUUAUCUCUCUUGACUUUUUUCACACUGAAGGAGUACACACUAAACACUCACUGAGCCCCCACCCACCCCUCCCCUUUUAAGCGAUAGAAUACACUCACCCUCUAGGCGACUCACACUCAAGGAAAGCUAAAAAAUUGAGUAAAACGCGAGUGACAUGUAUACGUUCCUCACUCAAUUUUUGAGCUUUCUUAACAAGUGUGAGGGGAGCCUCAGUGAGUGUAAAGUUUCAUUCAUGCAGUUUCAGUGGGUACUCCUUGAGUGCGAAUGAGCUUUUAGAAUACAGGGGUUAGAGAUUUAAACUGUACGGUUGUACUGUACAGUUGGUACGAUCGGAUCACGAUUUUAGAUAUAAACUGUUUCAUCUUUGCGAUUAAUAAUUGAGAACAUUUUUAUACAAUUCGCCUAAUUUCUCGUAUGAUUGUGACAUGAUUUUCAAUUUCUUUCACAAUUUUUUAAUUUUGGGCACCCAAAAGUAAUUCUGUUUGGCUUUGGUAUCACAGGUACAAAAUCGCGAAUUGUGACGAUACAAUACUUUUGUUAUGCUUUAAUACGAUGUUGUUGUUUUUUGUGUCCAAAAGACUCUAUACCGCUUUGACAUUUAUUUUGUAGAAACAUUUUGCUGUAAUAUCAUAAUUAAAUUUCAUAAUUAAAACUGUUGAUUCAUAAUGUAAAUAGGCCUAUGACUUCCAUUCAUUGAGUUAC